GGGGAAUAUUGGACAAUGGGCGCAAGCCUGAUCCAGCCAUGCCGCGUGAGUGAUGAAGGCCUUAGGGUUGUAAAGCUCUUUUAGCAGGGAAGAUAAUGACGGUACCUGCAGAAAAAGCCCCGGCUAACUUCGUGCCAGCAGCCGCGGUAAUACGAAGGGGGCUAGCGUUGCUCGGAAUUACUGGGCGUAAAGCGCACGUAGGCGGACUCUUAAGUCGGUGGUGAAAUCCUGGAGCUCAACUCCAGAACUGCCUUCGAUACUGGGAGUCUUGAGUUCGGGAGAGGUGAGUGGAACUGCGAGUGUAGAGGUGAAAUUCGUAGAUAUUCGCAAGAACACCAGUGGCGAAGGCGGCUCACUGGCCCGAUACUGACGCUGAGGUGCGAAAGCGUGGGGAGCAAACA
rnacentral:rRNA from 1 species